AGCGAACGCUGGCGGCAGGCCUAACACAUGCAAGUCGAACGAACCUUUCGGGGUUAGUGGCGGACGGGUGAGUAACACGUGGGAACGUGCCUUUAGGUUCGGAAUAACUCAGGGAAACUUGUGCUAAUACCGAAUGUGCCCUUCGGGGGAAAGAUUAAUCGCCUUUAGAGCGGCCCGCGUCUGAUUAGCUAGUUGGUUGAGGUAAUGGCUCACCAAGGCGACGAUCAGUAGCUGGUCUGAGAGGAUGAUCAGCCACAUUGGGCCUGAGACACGGCCCAAACUCCUACGGGAGGCAGCAGUGGGGAAUCUUGCGCAAUGGGCGAAAGCCUGACGCAGCCAUGCCGCGUGAAUGAUGAAGGUCUUAGGAUUGUAAAAUUCUUUCACCGGGGACGAUAAUGACGGUACCCGGAGAAGAAGCCCCGGCUAACUUCGUG
rnacentral:rRNA from 1 species